CUGAUUGUAAGGUGCUCCAGUCCAGGAUAUAUCGCAGUAUCUUAUAGAGUUUGGAAAUGGAAUAGGCAGUGGAGUCAGAAGAGCACAACAUUGUGUCUAAAGGGUUCUCCCAGUCAACAGGCGUGAAGUGUUGAGUAAUGGUGUUAUAGUAGUGUCAUGUUUGAAGGUAAGCGAACCAUGGAAGAGGAAGGCCUGCAAAACGCUCCCAUAGCUCAGC